rnacentral:rRNA from 1 species
AAUAUUGCGCAAUGGAGGGAACUCUGACGCAGCGACGCCGCGUGAGCGAUGAAGGUCUUCGGAUCGUAAAGCUCUGUCCUUGGGGAAGAAGGGAGCCGUAAGGCUUCUUGACGGUACCCAUGGAGGAAGCCCCGGCUAACUACGUUCCAGCAGCCGCGGUAAUACGUAGGGGGCAAGCGUUGUCCGGAAUUAUUGGGCGUAAAGGGUGCGUAGGCGGCCCUUUAAGUCAGAUGUGAAAGCCCACGGCUUAACCGUGGUAAGCAUUUGAAACUGAUUGGCUUGAGUUAAGGAGAGGAAAGUGGAAUUCCUAGUGUAGCGGUGAAAUGCGUAGAUAUUAGGAGGAAUACCAGUGGCGAAGGCGACUUUCUGGACUUAUACUGACGCUGAGGAACGAAAGCGUGGGGAGCAAACA